rnacentral:tRNA from 2 species
GUCCUCGUAGUUUAAUGGAUAGAACGGCCCCCUCCUAAGGGGUCGGUACAGGUUCGAUUCCUGUCGGGGACG